rnacentral:rRNA from 1 species
AGCGAACGCUGGCGGCAGGCCUAACACAUGCAAGUCGAACGCCCAGCAAUGGGAGUGGCAGACGGGAUAGUAACACGUGGGAACGCGCCCUUCGGUUCGGAAUAACUCAGGGAAACUUGAGCUAAUACCGGAUACGCCCUUACGGGGAAAGAUUUAUUGCCGAAGGAACGGCCCGCGUCGGAUUAGCUAGUUGGUGAGGUAAUGGCUCACCAAGGCGACGAUCCGUAGCUGGUCUGAGAGGAUGACCAGCAUCACUGGGACUGAGACACGGCCCAGACUCCUACGGGAGGCAGCAGUGGGGAAUAUUGGACAAUGGGCGCAAGCCUGAUCCAGCCAUGCCGCGUGGAUGAUGAAGGCCCUAGGGUUGUAAAGUCCUUUUAACGGGGAAGAUAAUGACGGUACCCGUAGAAUAAGCCCCGGCUAACUUCGUGCCAGCAGCCGCGGUAAUACGAAGGGGGCUAGCGUUGCUCGGAAUUACUGGGCGUAAAGCGCACGUAGGCGGGUCGAUAAGUCGGGGGUGAAAUCCUGGAGCUCAACUCCAGAACUGCCUUCGAAACUGUCGAUCUUGAGUUCGGGAGAGG